UUUUGCUUCACUCCCGCUACUUCUUCUUCAACCCCCAAGUCACUAUAGCUUAGUGAGAUUUGUGUUUCAGAUUGCGAUGGCGGCCGAUUCAAAUUCCGGCGAUCCAAUCUCCGACUACGGCCGCACCCAGCGGAUCGUGCUCCUAAUCGACCUAAACCCACUCCUCCAUCUCCAAGACCCAACCCCAUUUCUCACCUCUCUCCUCUCCUCCAUCAAAACCCUAACCUCCUUCCCUCCUCUCUCUUUCUCUCUCUUCGCCUUCAGGCCCUUCUUCUCGUCUCUCUCUCCUCUCCUCUCCUCCUCCAAGCUCCCCGCUUCCUCUCUCUCCCUCUCCUUCAACCCCCCGGACUCUACUUUCCUCUCGCUCUCUCAAACCCUAGCCUCUCUCUCCUUUGACCGGAACCCUAGCUUGACCGGAUCCGACUCGCCGCGGGCUUCGUUCGUCGCGGCGGCGAUGCGGCAACUCGUCCACGACUACGCUUGGGACGCGCCGAUCUGCGAUCCGGCGACCGGUACGUUUUCGAAUUGUGGUGCUUUGAGGUCUAAUUUGGUUGUCCUGUUUUCGCCGGUGUGUGGGUCUUUGAAAUUUGUGAGUGAGUUCUUGAAUGUGGGAGUGGGUGAUGAGUGUUUGGGAGAUUUGAAUGCGUUUUGUGAGAGAUUUCGAGCGGUUUUCGAGAAUGUGGAUGAGGCAUUUGGUAGUAGAGAUAUUCAAUUGAGUUGGGUUGAUGUGAGGUAUGAAUUGGAGUGUGGUGAGAAUAAGGUUGGAUUGAAAUGUGGUUUUUUCGAGAGGGGGAUUGAGAGUUUAGGAUGGGGGUUUUGCUCCUCUGAUUCGAUUGUGCUUGGUUCGGCUCUUGUUCCGUUUGGUUUGAUUUAUCCAGAGAUUGGGGUUUCGUCGAAGAUUUUUGGGGAUCAUAGUAAGAAGGUUAGAGGGCAAUUGAGUCUUGAAAUAUCAGAUGUUAUGGGGAUGCCUUUGGAGGGCAAGUUUUGUGAUCUUGAGUUGGCUGAGUUGAAAAUGUUGCCUAGAAGUAGAGCUGAUGAUGGUUUGUUUUCCGUGGAAAGCAUGAAGUCGCAAGCAAGAGGUCAUGAGGUGAAGAGGCUGUUCUGGGGAAGUGUUGGCAAUGGAGUGUCGAAGAUUCAGGUUAAGGCUUUGCAAAAGGACAGUGAGUUUGUGAAAUUCAAGGGGCGGUUAUCGGAUCCGAUUCUUGUCUAUGAAGUUUCAGGAAGAGAUGGGAAAGAAGUUUGUGGUGGUGUUUUUGUAGAUAAGGUUCUUGAAAUGCUAUCAGUGGAAUUGGGUGAGUUUUUACCGAGGAAAUUGGCGCCUGUUUGGCAGAUUGUCUUGAGUUUUUUAUACAGGGACGGUUGCUGGGCAUUGGUGUCUAUUUCAAAUGAUAGUGGUGUAUCGCAUACUGGAAUCCUUAAGCCUUUUACAAUUUCUUCAGCUCUUUUGUUUAUUUUGGAUGAAGGAUUUCACCCUCACAAAAAAGGGCAUGGCAUUGGUGCAGUGAAUGUGGGUCAAUCUCGUCCAAAGAUGAACCAUAAGAUAUGCAAACCUGAUGUUGAUUUGAACAACUUGUGCGGGUCUCAAACUGAGCCUACACCAUCUGAUAAGCAUUCUGCAGAGAUUGAUGGAAAGAAGAAAAGUAGCAAAAGAAAUUCACAUUCACUCCAAGACCUCACCUGGAGUGCUUUCUGUAAGGCAGCAUUUGAAUAUUCAGACUUACAUUUGGAAGAGGUUUACUUUGCCAGGCAACGCAGCAGCUCAAAAAAGUUGAAAUUUCUGAAAUGCUGGAUGAAACAGAUAAAAAAAGUGAAGUAUCCAAUAACGGAGGAGUCCAAGGCACACCAGGAAAACCAAAAGGAGAUGGGCAAUAGGUUGGAUGUGUUGCAGCAAGAGAGUGAACAACCGAUGUCAUCAUCUGGUUCAGCUGGAGAAAAUUCUUUGACUGUGGCUUUGGGAGUACAGGAUGAAGCUGCUCAGGAAUAUAGAUUAGAAACCUCGGAAGCUUUUUUCAGUAAUUUCUCCAAUAAGAUUCGACAAGGGCUUGAAUCUGAAGCAGUAGACUUGGGGGCUUUCGCACAUCGGCUUGUGAGUCAAUCUAUAUCUUUGUUGAAUCAAAAGCAUAGCACAACAACCCCUUCAGAGAAUCAAACUCUUGUAAAAUCUGACAAUAUUGAUGAUUUGGUUGCUGCUGAGCUGUUAGAACUUUUACUCAGAGAUCCCAAGGAUAUGGUUGCAACGCACAAAAGCUAUGACCCAUCUUUUCAAGCAUCUGAUCCAGGAUCUGAAGGAUUUACUUCAGAAAUAAUAGUUCGAGAAUAUGAAUUACAGAUAUUUUUCCGCAUGGAGAUUUUACAAUCAGAAGUUGGAGCAAGUAUCAAAGAUUCUGUGAAACAGAAGUUUGUGAAACAUAUUUGCAUGCUUUUGGAGACCAUUCGUGUUCGAUGUCAUCUGGAGGGAGGCUUCUUUGGUGACUGGACCCUAGAAAAUUAUGCUGGAAAGAUUAUAAAAAGCAGGUACUGUCAGACUCUUGAAGAUGUGGUUCAUAAAAUUUACACAAAAAUGGAUCUGUUGCUGUUUGAUGAUGAGGAAGAACUCUCUAAUAAUCUAUUCAACAGCGAGGAUAGCAAUCAAUCCUACAGAGAAAAACCAGGGAAAGAUGAGGUGGGUGAAAAUAGUAGAAUCAAGGAAUUAGUAUCAGCAGAAGAUGAAUCCCCUGAUCUGGGAAAACAUUACAAUGGAAGACCAAGUGCUCAAGUGGUUAAACAAGAGGAGCAUGCUCGCAAGUUGAUUGAAGCUCAAGAGAGUAGAGAGAGGGCUAGGAGAUUUGCUUCUUUUACAAGUAGGGUAGCUGAUUUGCAGCGAGUUUGGGCCCCAAAACAGCCUAAGGCGUUCAAGCCAAAAUCAAAUUCUCUUCCAAAGCCGGCUAAGAGGAAGGACCAUACAGAUUCCUAUUAUGAGAGAGUAUUAGAAACCCCAAUGACAGAAAAUAAACGAAUCCACAUCGAUGAUGAAGAUUACCAAGACUAUGGAAGCCGUUCUGUUUCUAAAUCAUUGUUUCAGGAUGACUAGUAAAUGGAGCUGUAGCCUCUCCUUAGAUGCAAUGGCAUGGAGCUUUUCUCAGAUUACCAAACGAGAUGGAUUGACCCUCCUAUAAUAUCAGAUGAUUAUGGCUAUUGAAAGCUACUGCGUUUGAAGAAGGUGAUCUAGAGAGCCACAAAUGCUCUCAUUUGUUGAAGAAGUUUUGUCACAUAGUGGACCAGCAAGAUCAACGCCAUGUGAAAGGUCAGAUCUUCAAGCCGGGGGGAACUCCAACCCUUGCAAAAAAGAAGCAAACAGCUGCAUGAAUCAUGAGCCUUGAACAAAAAUGGCCACUUCUCUUCAUGUAUCACUCUUUGCCCCAAUCUCAUCGCUGGUUCUAAUCAAACCCUCUCACGCCGGCAGUGUAGCCGUGUUCUCUGGGAAAACCAGUUAUGGAGGAAUUCUUAAGUCAAACUUGCGCCACCAGAAAAUACUCUCAUGUGAACAGCUUUCCUCAACGUAUUCAGCUGCAGUCAAGUCCCACAACUGAACCUGGCAUCUGCAACCCAGCCUCCAAUGCCCCGAAAUCACAUUCUGCCAAAGCCUAGGACUUCAGGUGUUCCUCUCCAUUGGUGGUGGAUAUGGAAGGUACUCUGGCUUCUGCUGCUGAUGCAAGAUAUGUAACCAACUACCUUUGGAACAGUUUACUAGGCAGCACAGGAAAUGGCAGAGACAACUUUGCUUCACGUCCCUUUCGGGACGGCCUCUUGGACGGCAUAUGGCAUAUAGAGCAUGGCGCAACUCAAUGCUGGGAUGACUAUCUCAAGGCGUAUAGCAGCCCAAGAAGACCUGUUUAGGAAAGCACGUAGGAAAGCAACCGAAUGGAUAUGCUAUAAUCAUACGAAGUCAUCAUGGUGGAAUGGAAGAUGACAAGAGUUAUGUGCAUCUCUUUUCUAUAGAAACAUUUUAUUAUAGAUCAGAUACACUAAGUAACAAUCUUGAUAUGGUGUAUUCAACAAACCGUCACUUGUGCCAGAGUGUUGAGAAUUUAAGGUUGAUUUAGAGUCAAGCUGACGUUGUUUAUCAUUUUGAUUACAUUGUCCUACUUACGGAAGCAAAUUUCAUUUCAGUAUGUCAGGGUUUUCUUCCUUCCUUUGUAAAGAGAUUACCAAAACGAGAGGGAAUGACCCAUUUAUAAUAUCAGAUGGUUAUGGCUAUUAAUAGUUUAAUACCAGUGCUUUGGAAGAAAAUUAUCCACUAUAAUAUCAGAUGGUUAUGGCUCUCAUGUAUCGAUGAUGAUAGCAUCAUGUAUAUGGACAAAGUG